rnacentral:rRNA from 1 species
AACGCUAGCUACAGGCUUAACACAUGCAAGUCGAGGGGCAGCAUAGAAGUAGCAAUACUUUGGUGGCGACCGGCGCACGGGUGAGUAACGCGUAUGCAACCUACCUAUCAGAGGGGAAUAACCCGGCGAAAGUCGGACUAAUACCGCAUAAAACAGGGGCACCGCAUGGUGAUAUUUGUUAAAGAAAUUCGCUGAUAGAUGGGCAUGCGUUCCAUUAGGUAGUUGGUGAGGUAACGGCUCACCAAGCCGACGAUGGAUGGGGGAACUGAGAGGUUGGUCCCCCACACUGGUACUGAGACACGGACCAGACUCCUACGGGAGGCAGCAGUGAGGAAUAUUGGUCAAUGGGCGGGAGCCUGAACCAGCCAAGUCGCGUGAAGGAAGAAGGAUCUAUGGUUCGUAAACUUCUUUUGCAGGGGAAUAAAGUGCAGGACGUGUCCUGUUUUGUAUGUACCCUGAGAAUAAGGAUCGGCUAACUCCGUGCCAGCAGCCGCGGUAAUACGGAGGAUCCGAGCGUUAUCCGGAUUUAUUGGGUUUAAAGGGUGCGUAGGUGGUUUGAUAAGUCAGCGGUGAAAGUUUGCAGCUUAACUGUAAAAAUGCCGUUGAAACUGUCGGACUUGAGUGUAAAUGAGGUAGGCGGAAUGCGUGGUGUAGCGGUGAAAUGCAUAGAUAUCACGAAGAACUCCGAUUG